rnacentral:lncRNA from 1 species
ACUGUUUCUGGCCGGGCACGGUGGCUCACACCUGUAAUCUCAGCACUUUGGGAGGUUCAGGCGGGCAGAUCACUUGAGGCCAGGAGUUCAAGGCCAGCCUAGCCAAUGUGGCAAAACCCCGUCUCUACUAAACAUACAAAAAUUACCUGAGUGUGGUGUCAGACGCCCGUAAUUCCAGCUACUUGGGAGGCUGAGGCAGGAGAAUCAUUUGAACCUGGGAGGCGGAGGUUCCUGUGAGCUGAGAUUAUGUCACUGCACUCCAGCCUGGGCAACAGAGAAAGACUCCAUCUCAAAAAUAAAUAAAUAAACAAACAAUACAAAAUAAAAUAAAAUAAAAAAUUGUAACCAAGCGCAGUGGCUCAUGCCUUUAAUCCCAGCACUUUGGGAGGCUGAGGUGGGUGGAUCACCUGAUGUCAGGAGUUCAAGAACAGCCUGGCCAACAUGGCAAAACCCUGUUUCUACUAACAAUACAAAAAUUAGCCAGGCGUGGUGGCAGGCACCUGUUAUCCCAGCUACUGGGGAGGCUGAGGUGGGAGAAUCCCUUGAACCCAGGAGGCACAGGUUGCAGUGAGCUGGGAUCACGCCACUGCACUCCAGCCUGGGCGACAAAGCAAGACUCCAUCUCAAAAAAUAAAAGCUUCUCUAGGCCCUCCAUAUUUCCAUAUAACUCUUAGUAUCACGUUGUCAAUUUAUGUAAAAAAGCCUUGAAUUUUGUAUGGAGUUGUGUUAACUCUAUAGAUCAAUUUGGGAAAAUUUGACAUCUUAACAAUUGCUAUUGAUUGAAUGUCUUUGCCCGCCUCCCAGAUUUACAUGUUGAAACCUGAUACCCAGUGUGGUGGUAUUUGGACAAGGGGACUUUGGGAGAUGAUAAGGCCAUGAGGAUAGAUCCCACAUAAAUGGGAUUCGUGUCCUUACAACAGAGACCUUAGAGAGCUGCCUCCCUCCCUCUGCCAUGUGAGGACACAAUAAGAAGACAGCUGUCUAUGAACAGGAAAGCCAGUCCUCACCAGAUACCAAAUCUGCUGCCUCAAUCUUACACUUACCAGCCUCCAGAACAUGAGAAAUAAAUGUUUGCUGUUUAAGCCACCUAUAUUGCUGUAGCAGCCCAAACAGAUUAAGACAAUCAUACUGAAUCUUCCAAUUCAUGAGAUAUAUUUUUGCCAAUUCAGAAAUGUGGUAUAUUAAUUGAAAUCUUUAAUUUCUCUCAGCAACAUUUUGUAGUUUUCAGCAUUAAAAAUUUUAACAUCUUUUGUUAAGUUUUUUCCUAAGCAUUCCAUGUUCUUUAGCACUAUUGUAAAUUAAUUUUUAAUAAUUAUUUGAUGCCGUUACAUAAUACAAAUGAUUUUAUUUAUUUAUUUUUUUGUAGAGACAGGGCUUUGCCACAUUGUUCAGGCUGGUCUUAAACUUGUGAGCUCAGGCAUUCUUCCUGCCUCUGUCUCCCAAAGUUCUGGGAUUACAGGCAUGAGCCACGGCUCCCAACCAAGAAUACAAAUCAUUUUAAUAUAGCAAUCUUGUAUCCCGUGACCCUGACAAAUUCAUUUAUUCAUUCUAGAAGUUUUUGUAAAUUUCUUGGGCUAUUAUACAGGAGCAAUCAUAAACUUUGCAAAUAAAGAUAACUGUACUUAUUUCUUUUUUAAAAAAAUUUUACUUUAAGUUCUGGGACACAUGUGCAGAGCGUGCAGGUGUGUUACAUAGGUAGACACGUGCCAUGGUGGUUUGCUGCACCUACCAACCCAUCAUCGAGGUUUUAAGCCCUGCAUGCAUGAGGUAUUUGUCCUAAUGCUCUCCUUCCCCUUGCCCCCAACCCCCGAC